GUUCCCGUAUGAUCACCGAAGUUAAGCAAAGUCGAGCCUGGCCAGUGCUUAAAUGGGUUACCGCUUAGGAAUGACUGGUGCUGUAAG